UCCUACGGGAGGCAGCAGUGGGGAAUAUUGCACAAUGGGCGCAAGCCUGAUGCAGCGACGCCGCGUGGGGGAUGACGGCCUUCGGGUUGUAAACCUCUUUCACCAUCGGCGAAGCCCAUGAUUUUUGUUGUGGGUGACGGUAG
rnacentral:rRNA from 1 species